CAGUUUAUCUGUAAGGAGGCAUUGGAGACCCAUCUCAGAAGCCACUGCUGGGGCACUUCAGGGCAAUUCAAUAUGAUUUUGUGAAGUACAUAGUAAGCUGUGUAUAAUUUUCAUUCUAGAGUAUGGCUCAAACACUCCCCAAAUGAAAGUUCUGAGUCAUUUUUUUUUUAAACCUGCAAAUUUUGUUAUGUGGAUAUGUCUUAACUGGAUAGAUCAUCAGAGUCCAGAUUCUGGAGCCCAGAGAGAACCAAGUCAGCAUCCAGCACCCACCACCUUGAGGUGGUACAUUUUAUCAAAGGAUUCUCCAUGAGAGAUUCUCGAAAGUGACAUAUCUCUGACUUAAAGUAGGACCUUGAUUCACAAACUUGGCACUCAAGUUCACAUUUCACAUGAAAAGGCCGGUAUGAAACAUCAUUGAUACCCAUUAACAUCCAUUAUCUUAGGGCCUCAUUUUUAUCAUGUUCCCAUGCAGGGUACUGUACAUAAAUUGUCUCAUUCUCUCCUCCAGUGACCCCAAGAGAUCAGUGCUACUGAACCUGUAUUAUAGACAUGGACACUGAGCUUCUGAAGGCAUUGUUCUGGCAGUUUGGACUGAAUGCCUCAAACACUGGUCUGGUAAUUUCAUCAUGUGGUCAGAGGUUCAUGAAUAAGAAAGUGCAAUCCAUCAUUGUAUGUAACGGCAAACAUGUAGAAACAACCAAGCUGCCCAACAAUAGAAGACUAAAUAGCACAUCCACUUGCUUGAAUACUAUGCCACUAAAGUAAUGGAUAUAAAUGUUUUAUAAUAAUGUGAAGACUUAGUUUUGAGCUAAUUUGGGAUAGGAAAACAGUUUACAACUUGCGCAGGAAGUAUUAUCUCAAUUGUGUAAAAUAAAAAUACAUGUGUGGAAAGAUUAUGAGAGAAUACUCUUAAAUAUUCUUAA